CCAACACUGGGUCCUCCUUCCCCAACAGCCGGGAGGGCUGAGCCCCCGCCAGGACCUCCCACAUGUCCUCCCCGCCGCCCUCUUCCUCAGCUGGUGGGGUCGACCGUCGCACCGGCCUCCUCUGCUCAGCCCCACAGGGUCCGCCCCACGCCCCCUGCCUGGGCCCCCACAUCCCAUCCGUGGGCCCCUCAAGGGCUCAGUCCGCUCGGCCCUCCCCCUCUUGCCAGGAAGACACGUCCCCCACCCGCGCGGCGCGCCUCUCCCGUCCCUGCCGCGGCUGAGCGGCCCCUCCGCCGCCGCCGCCACCGCUACCGUCGGGCGCCGUUCCGACCCUGGCGAUCCCCGCCCGCGCCCCCAAGACUCAGCGCUCACCGCGCACACCCCACAGUCCUUUCAGGGGGCCACCGAGACCGGAAGGGAGCGUCAGCGGCCCAAAGGCCGGAAGUGAGGUCAGGUCGGAAACCCGGAUGCUCCGCGCGAUGCCUCCUGGGAAUCGUAGUUCCCAGCCACACCCCACACCCGGCUCUGCGGCGCCGGCACGCGGCCGGAUGCCUCUGGCCUGCGCUUUCAGUUGCUGCCACCCGGGCCAGGUGCCCCGCGGACCCCAUAGGAAUAGAGACUGAGUGUGCAGUCUGCAGCGCCCGGUGCGCCCGCGGUCCUGGAACCAGGGGAAAGCUCUUUCUCUCAGGGCUACUGGCAUCUUUUCUGCUUGCAGAGGACAAACGUGGUCCUCCCCACAUCCUGGAAGCGCCAAGCCCGGAGCUUUGCUUACAAGCCCUUGGAGAGAAAAGCGGUCCUUUCUUUUCCGUCCAGCCUGUAACCGCUCUGGCUCAAGCACAUCACUGUGUGUUGUGUUCUCUGCAGUGGGCGCCCUGUCUUGGCUCUUUCCCUGCCCUUUCCAUCAGCUGCCAGACAGAUGCCCACAAACAGCGAACUGGAAAAGGAUGUCCGUGGGGUUCCGCGUUCGGUUCCGCGUUGGUGAAUUCAGGUCUUAAGUCUGCCACUCGCUGGCUACCUAACCUUAAAACAGCUGUCACCACUGUAAAGCCUUGCUGCUCAGGUCUGUAUAAUGAGAUAAUUCCAACACUCUCCAAGUGUUGGAGGUCAGAUAAUGUUUUAGUGUAA
rnacentral:lncRNA from 1 species